CUGCUCCACUAUGCUGUGGAAUUACGG
rnacentral:piRNA from 1 species